GGGUACCAGUCUGUUUAGCUAACAUUCCACUCUGUAUUCCGUGUCAUAUGCCAAAGUUUAGCAGAAAGUUUAGCUAAACAGACUUCUAUGGGCACGGGUAAGCCUCGAGCAAGGAGCGAACAACCACUGUAGACACAGAUCUCAGUUAUUUAACGUUAAUUAUUACAGACAGAUCUGGCAUUUCUCCAUCUGGAAAUUACUACUUACAACACAACUGCAAUUAUUUGAUUUUAUAUUUGUCCAAGAUGGCUAGCUGCAAAGCUAGCAAGCGAGUUAAUUUAAGAUGCCUCUUGAUCCAGUUCGCCAGCAGAGCAGCCCUCGCCAAAAAGACAGUAAACCAAAAGCUGCCACCAUUGCAGUGGGUGCCGGAUAGACAAUGGUGGUCCUUCAUUCUCGAAUGUGAAGCCGACGGACCCUAGCAGGAAGGACCAGAGAAAAGUGUUUGGUUAAGGUAUGACUUCAUAUUGAGUCAAAUGUAAUUCCACUCAAGUUCAGAUUUAGAUUUAGAGUGACUGACAUUAAUUGGAAUGUAAAAAGCAUGAGCUGGCGCACACACAGAUAAAAUACUUUUCUGUCGAGGUGGUGACUAACGGUGAAUAAACUGUAAGCUAUAAUAUAUAUAUAUAAACUCCCAGUCAUUUAUUGGGUAAAACACCAAUGUUUCGGCAUCACUGUGCCUUCUUCAGGGUAAUGUCAUGAAUGAUUGAACCAGGUUAUGUAGACAAACAGUGCAAUUAGUGCAACCAAUGACAAUAGUGAGCGGUGUGACAAAAUUAUUAGGUUAAUAAGAAUGAAUUGAGUGAAACAGUUAAAAGACAAUAGUUUACAGCAUGUUGAAUAUAUUAGGCUAUUAUUAUCAUAUGGCAACAUAGUUAAAUAUUGUACAUAAUAUUAGCAUACACAAUUGUAAUAAAACAUGUGUUACAUGAAAUCUUUUGGUUCAACCAUAAUGCAUAAUAGCAUCAUCAACAGGGGGAACAUAUUGGGUGUACGCUGAUAAGCUGUAGAAAGAAUAUAUUCAUUGGUAAGACUUGUUCAUAAAAAACAAGAAUAAUUGUUCAUGAGAAGGGCCUGAGAUCAAAGUCAAUAUACAGAGCACUAAGGGUCAAUGUUUUUGAAUUGGAACAUGAGCAGGCUUAUUAGUCUAUACUCAAGUGGAACAACAGAUGGAUUCAUUAGUCAACAACGGUUGUGUCAAUGAAUGCAUAUUACAAAGGUUGAGAGGUGCGUACACACUUCCAAUGUGGCCUACAUCUGUUAUUAAACUUGAGUGAUGACUAAGCCCUAAAGGUUGUGAAACUUCACAUGAUUAAGCCUAUAUCAGUUAAGAUCGGAAUGUUUGCUAUCCUACUUACUGUACACUGUUGAUAGUACUUGAUGCCAAAGCUAAUCACUGAAUAUCCUACUACAAGGAAUCAGUCAGGUUGCUAAACGUCUGUAUCGUAUGAACACACACACCAGGGGUUGUCAGGGCGAAUACUCUAAGCAGUCAGGAAAAGAUCGUAUUGUGCUUUUAGUGACUGAAUGGAACAAAAAAGAAACAGCACAGCAACAUGAUCGCUCCGCCGCUCACUCACAUAGUUUAGCUUCAUGAUCAUUCUCAUUUAAGGUAAUUGGGCCUCUAUUUUAGGAGAGGAAUGACAUGCAUGACCUUCUGUCUCUCCUCUCUACUGAGACCGAUCUGGCCGCAGCAUCGCAGGCCCAGCUCUAACAGUGGUCUUCCCAACCGGCUGUCUUGUUCUGCUCCCCUUUGGCAACAGCUACUGCCACAACAAAAGAGGAUUGCUCUGAAGAGUACCUGCUGGAUACAGAGCACACCUCGGCCAGCCACACCACCACUGCCCUUGACAGCUUCUCCACUGGGCCCAUCAAGAGAUGAGGUCGCGUCUUCAUCUUGUUCCACGACCGCUGGACAGAGCCCAUUAGAGCUGCCAGUGAUGGGCUACUGGCCAAUCCUCACGGGGAAGAAGAUAUCCUGAAGCGGGUGAAUCUGCUCUGCUCUUAACACCACCCCAGAGAAGCUCCUAGAGACACACAGCUGUGGCAUUAUGUUACUGUAGAGAGUGAAACAGUCAGUGUCCCAGUCAUGUCCUCAGUCAUGUCCCCUGCCACCUGCACUUACCCAGCAGAAGGCCUCACCUACUCAACGUUUCCAUUUGAGGAUUUAGCUUCCGCUGCCUCCUUUCAAUGGGCUCUGUCUCUCAAUUGUUCGCGGAUGAUGUGUCUCCUUUUGGGCAGCUCACAGUAAGGGUCUGGGUGGGUCCUCGUUGUCUUUUGGUCUGAUGGAAAUUUCCUUCAUGCUUCAUGAAAUGUGCCACCAGUUUUCCUCGCAGACCCUCACUGGAAAGCUCCGCAGGCAGAAUCAAUCAUCCGGUUCUUGAUGCCAAAUUGUCUUGGAAAUUACCACCAGGGACUCAAAGUCAAACUUAAACGAAUCAUUAUUUAUUGUCAGUUAACUGGAGAAGUUCCAACAAACUUAAUGCACCAUAGUACACGUUGGUCGGGAGCUCUCCGGGGCAGUCCCGUUAGUUCUCUUAUAUACUGCUUACACAGACAAGUUAUAUUUGCAUGAUUUACAUUAUACAUUAUUCCUGAUUAAUUCAUUUGGUUAUUGCUUAAACUAUCAAAGGAGGUUCUAUCAAAAUACGUCAUAAGUAAGCGAAAUGAACACAUAAAACCAGACACUUCUGUCACGUUCCUGACCUAUUUAUGUUAGUUUUUGUGUGUUAGUUGGUCAGGACGUGAGGUUGGGUGGGCAUUCUAUGUUAUCUGUUUCUAUGUUGGUUUCGGUUUGCCUGGUAUGGCUCUUGAUUAGAGGCAGGUGGUUUGCGUUUGCCUCUAAUUAAGAGUCAUAUUUAGGUAGGGCAUUCUCACUGUUUGUUUGUGGGUGAUUGUCUCCUAUGUCUGUAUGUAUGUUCGUACCACAUGGGACUGUAGCGUUUGUUUGUUUCGUUUCGUUUCGAUGUCGUCCGUUUCCUGUACGUAAGUUUAUGUUUAGUUAUGUAAGUUUAUGUUCAGGUUUCGUUCAACGUCGUUUUGUUAUUUUGUAGUUUUUCAAGUGUUUGUUUCGUUUCGUGUUGCCACCUUUAUCGUUGUUUAAUAAAGAUGGCUUAUUUCCCAAAGCCUGCGUUUUGGUCUUCAGAUCCCUCUCUCCUCACCUCAUCUGAGGAUGAGGAAAGCGACACCCGUGACAGAAUCACCCACCUACACGCUAAGACCAAGCGGCAAGGGAAAACGAAACGGAGUAAGGGACAGGAGAGAAAGGAGCAAUGGACAUGGGACGAUGUUUUGGAUGGAAAGGGUUGCUACACUUGGGAGGAGAUCCUGGCUGGGAGGGAUCGCCUCCCAUGGGAACAGGUGGAGGCAUUGAGGAGAGCAGAGGCUACCUGGGAGAGGAACCGGAGCUAUGAGGGAACGCGUCUGGCACGGAAGCCGAAAAAGCCCGUAAGUAAUUCCCAAAAAUUUC